rnacentral:lncRNA from 1 species
CCCUUAUUAAUGACAUUAUUUAUUAAUUAAUGACAUUAUUAUUUAUUAAUGACAUUUUUUGGAAUGACAUUAAUGACAUUUAUUAAUGAUAUCAUUUAUUAAUGACAUUUUUGGGACUUUUUUCGGCAUAUAGGCCUAGUAGCCCCCCUGGUGAAAACUUCCUGCGUCCGGCCCUGACAGGUGGGUUGCCAAUAUAUCUCGAUAUAUAAAAAUACCUCCUCAGAAUUUGCAUUACACUGCCUGCCCGGUCCAUAACUACACUCCAGUAGCCUUAUUCCAUUGAUGCAAAAUGGAGUACCAAAAAACGGUAUUGACAGAUCCCCAAUAUUACUGCUCCAUCUCAAAUUACCUUUUUGAUAAAUUAAUAAUGAUUUUAAAGUUAAUAACACAA